GACGAAAGAUGCCAGAGGGACAUUCAAAUACAUAAAUCUGACAACGCCAUGUCUAAAAAGAUAAAAGACAAAUCAAACAAUAGUACAUAAAACACAACAUAUAAUACUAAAGACUAAGCAACCAGAACACCACCAAAACUGGGGGUGGCCUCGGAAUUGACAUAGUUGAAACCACUUCUUCUUGGCAAUAUCUGUCGUCUUUAAAUCUUUAUCUGAAAAUCACGGCGCACGUAAUAAUCAGAACACGUUGAUUGAGACACGUGUCUUGCAAGACUGAAUGUCAAAAGAAAAAAGUAUAAACAUCGAUUGUGAUACAUGUAAAAUAACGGCAUUCACGUUGCACGAAAUUGACCCUUUAUCCACCUCUGUAUUCAGUGCUGUUAAUACGUCUAUAAUUUACAAUCCUUUAGAGCAUAUGAGUAUUGUAAAUAUUUUUUUCGAGAUUCAGUUUUUAUUUUCAUUGAAAGUUCGAUCACAAUUUAUCCAAAACGUAACUGAAACUUUCCAUUUUUCGUAUGUCCUUUCCGUUUAUAAAAUUUUCGAAUAAGUUUCAUAAGUUUGUGAUAAUUCCAACGUGUACUCAUGUUAUUCCAAGAAAAACUUCUUUUCUUCGAUCUAUGGAAUAAUGUUUUUCUGUUUUGACUUUCGUGAUGUGAUUUUGCAUUGUCGUCAAUCGACCGUCCGUGUCGCAGCUGUAUGCUUCCAGAUACGUUUGAAUUCUUCCAUAACCAGUUUUGUUGAAGAGUUUGAGCGGAAGUUGGAUCUAGUUGUCGUUUGCCUCUUUCUUUUAUAUUCCUUGUGUUUUUAAAAUGUUUACUAGAAAUUACUGACAAUAAUUUCGAAUAUGUCAUUUGAGAAUCUAUGCCGGUUAUAUCAUUGUCUUUUGGAAUUGGUAAUGGUAUGACUGAUCCAUAAACAUAGUAUAUUAACACUAGACUACAACACGCGCAUCUUGUAACGUCCUUCCUGCAAAAUAAUUAAGAACUGUUUAGGCAGACCUAUGCAAAUGCAUUUAAAAUGAAAAUCCAGCAUCACAUAUAGAC
rnacentral:lncRNA from 1 species